AUUGGCUAGGAGCUAUUCUUCCCUUUUUAAUAAGGUGCCUUGUGUUUCACCAGCCUGGCCCUGAUGAGAGAGGCCAGUUCCUUUCUGAGGCAGGGGAUAGAGCUGAGACUGUGCUGGUUUGCUGUGGUGCUCAGAGAGACCAAAGGAUUUAAGUCUUCAAAAUGCACAUACUUAGGCUUUACUCUGAGCCUUUUGGAGAAGCAAAGGAGAUGCUGAGAUCCUCCCUGUAAUCAUCUGCCUCGGGAAUCUGCAGCUCCAUAAAUGAGGUAUCCAGGUGUGUAUGCUAGAGGGGACUGGAGCACUUGUGGAAGAUGCCUGGGCUCUGCUGAGCUGUC